UGAACUAUUUUAAAAAAAGACUCCGAAUUCAAUUGACUGUGAUAGACCUUCAUAAUCUAUUGCCCUUAAUGUUCAAAGUAUGGUUGGUAGAAUGGUAGAAACUUAUGUCUACUCGUAUAUUUCUAGUAGCUAGUCCAAAUAGAUGUUGGUUUAUCAAGGUUCCAUGAAAACAUGAUGCAAACACUGCACUAGGAUCAAUUUAUUUCUUCUAUCACCAAUUCAUCAUGAGCUAGCACACCAUAAAGACUUGGUAAAAAACUACAAAUACAAAGACACACAUAUGCGCGAGAUCUAUUAAGCAGCGACAGCGAUCUUCAUGCCUUGCUGGCAGUGACCCGGAAGGCUGCAGAUGAAGAACGCUUUGCCUCCGCGAGCGAGCUGGAUGUGGUCAUUGCCGGAGGUGUAGGUCCUCGACGGGCCCGAGACCCUGCAUGAGUUGUAGUCGCCUUCUCCCACCUGCACCACGUUGUGCAUACUAGGGUUGUACUUGAACACUGCGUGCAUUAGUUAACACAAGAAUACAUAUCAGAACAUAGUAUAUGCAUCAAGAACGACCAAUCACUUGAUCUUUAGAGUUCUCACCAAGCACGUCGCCGGACUGGAUGUGCUUGCCACUCUCCCAUCCAGAGACGCCGAAGCUCCAUCCCUUGUUGUCACCAACGGUCCACUCCUUGCCAUGGACGACGGUGGUUGCGCAGCAAACGGCCAGAAGCAACACCAAAAGGGUGGGUACGAUGGUUCCCCGUGCCAUCAUUAGUGUUGCUCUUGGCUUCUUGUCGCUACCGAAGAUCACAAGAACAACAAAAUGAAACAAUGGUCGGUUACUCAAGUGAUUGCUUGCAUUCGGUCUCCUCGUAUCACAUAUAUAGCCGGUCAGCAAAAAUCAUUGUUUUAAUGUGCUGAAAUAAUGAGAAUCUUGCUUUAAAUGAGACAAAUCAACAAUUGUGAUAUGCAACGUUACUUAGUAUAUGCUACCAAAUCCUCCAACUUAUAUAAUCCAAUCUAGUAUUAAUGGAAAUUAACAAGCAUGCAUUAUACUCUGAAGAUUUAGAAAAUAUUUCUUUUUCGUGGAUGCAUUAGUUGUAUAUCAUGUAUUUACAUAUACUAGUAUUAGAUGAUAUAUUUGUAAUAGGAAAAUUCUAAAAUAAAAACUUUUUUAAUUAGGACAAGUCCCUAAUCUUGACUUUUCGACCAUAGCUGCUAAAACAUGACCGGAGACCAUGAUUUGGGAUUGUCUAGUCACAAAUCAUCUGAAAUUGAUAGGAAUAUUGUCAAUAAAUGUAGUUCAAAUGAAUUUCACAAGUCAGAAAAUUUAAUGCAUUGGGUCAAUAUAAGUAUUUUAGACUAGGUUAAUUUGGAAUAAUUCAAAAAGAAAAGUGGCCAUGAUUGGUUAAUGAUGUAGUAAACUCGACGAGAUUUGGAAGGAACUAAUUGAGAGGAACAUUUGUGAGACUUACCAAGAACUUGUCGCCACUUGAGUCGACGAAGAUUAUGACCUCAAGGACCCCCCCNNNNNNNNNNNNNNNNNNNNNNNNNNNNNNNNNNNNNNNNNNNNNNNNNNNNNNNNNNNNNNNNNNNNNNNNNNNNNNNNNNNNNNNNNNNNNNNNNNNNNNNNNNNNNNNNNNNNNNNNNNNNNNNNNNNNNNNNNNNNNNNNNNNNNNNNNNNNNNNNNNNNNNNNNNNNNNNNNNNNNNNNNNNNNNNNNNNNNNNNNNNNNNNNNNNNNNNNNNNNNNNNNNNNNNNNNNNNNNNNNNNNNNNNNNNNNNNNNNNNNNNNNNNNNNNNGACAACUCCAGACCGACAAAAUUUGCCCUAAACUAACCAUCCUGGCACAAACAGGAAUGACAUGCACGAGAGGGGGUGGAGUUGUGCCCUCUCUACUUCGCUCACUAGACGAUCUAGUGGAGAAUAAGAGGAGGGUGUAACGGGGAGGCGAAGAGGGGAGGCAGGAGAGACAGAAGAGAAUCGAAGAAAGAGAGGAUUGUGAAUUUUCUUUUUUCUAUUUAGAAAGUAGCACUAGUCGUUAUGGUCUGUCACAUGGCCAUGUAUGUGCCUUUUGCAGUUCACCUUACUAUUACCAUUUUUUAUACAACAUAAUGUACAUAAUUCUGUAAAAAUGUUUGUAUUUGGAUCCUUUUUCUAUAGUAUAAACUAAUUAUCAUUUUUUAAAUGUAUGUGUGUGCACACACGUUUGUUCUGGUAAAAUUUACAAGUCUGAUAUACAAAUGUAGUAAGCAAACAAAAAAAGAAUUGUUUGUACACACACAAGGUCCUUGUUGUGGAGAUUGCUUUGGAGACCUCUUGAACAUCACUAGUAUCCCGUUGAGAUGAAUAGUAGAGUUCAACAUAAAAGGAAACAAUUGUGUUUAAGGGAUCAUUGGCCAUUGCAUGUUAUUACAUUUUAAAAUCAUGGUCACAUGUAAUUAGCUUAAACUGAAAUAGUGGCAACAAAGCACUAAACCAAAGUUUAACGAAUGAAUAUCCAAAUGUGUUUCGUCUGUCUUUUGCUUUUGACGCUUUGUUUUGCCUCAAAGUGUAUUUUAUUAGCAUGAGCAUUUUAUAAUAUAUACUGUCAAUAGAGUGCCUCUGCUGAAGAACUGAACUUAACAAUCGAGACUAUAUAGAAGAUAGAACAUCUCCUGUCGGGCGCGCCUAUAUCUCGCCUUCAGUGAGUCUGGCUGCGUACUCGCUGAAGGGCGAGCGAGCUGGGCCGGCCCACAAGCGUGGGAGGCCAUUCUUUUUUUUCUUCCUUUUUUUACAUUUUCUGUUUUCUUUUUUCUUUUUUUGUACUUCUGUUUAUACUGUAAAAUAUUCUAAAAAUAUAAAUUACGAAAAACAAUCUUCAUUUUUUUUGAAAAUAUUAAAAAAGUAUUUAAAAAUGUUGAACAGGUAUUAAAAAAUGUUGAAUAAGUAUUUGAAAAAAAUGUUGAUCAAGUAUUUGAAAACUGUUAAACAAGUAUUUGAAAAAUGUUGAGCAUGAAUGGAAAACAAGUUGAAUAAACAUUUGAAAUAUAUAGAAUAAGUUUUUGAUAAAUGUUGAUCAAGUAUUUGAAAAAAUAUUAAACAAAUAUUUGAAAAAAUGUUGAUAAUGUAUAUAAAAAUGUUGAACAAGUAUUUGGCAAAUGUUGAUCAACAAUUUGACAAAAUGUUGAUCNNNNNNNNNNNNNNNNNNNNNNNNNNNNNNNNNNNNNNNNNNNNNNNNNNNNNNNNNNNNNNNNNNNNNNNNNNNNNNNNNNNNNNNNNNNNNNNNNNNNNNNNNNNNNNNNNNNNNNNNNNNNNNNNNNNNNNNNNNNNNNNNNNNNNNNNNNNNNNNNNNNNNNNNNNNNNNNNNNNNNNNNNNNNNNNNNNNNNNNNNNNNNNNNNNNNNNNNNNNNNNNNNNNNNNNNNNNNNNNNNNNNNNNNNNNNNNNNNNNNNNNNNNNNNNNNNNNNNNNNNNNNNNNNNNNNNNNNNNNNNNNNNNNNNNNNNNNNNNNNNNNNNNNNNNNNNNNNNNNNNNNNNNNNNNGAAAAACCCUGGAGAAAAAAAAACAGUUGUAUGUAAAAUAAUGAAGAAACAAAAGCAAAAUAAUGAAACAAUGCAGAAGAGAAGAGAAAAGAAAAGAAAAGAUAGAAAACAAAAUGCAAAAAAGGAGAAAAUCGGCACGACUUGCUUCAAGUAGGCCAUGUCCUUUAUGUUAUUCCGAACUAUUGGGCAGGCACACUGGAUAAUCGCGCUUCCUAUGUUUGCGGCGAUCCCUGGUGCUCCCCUUUACCCUUCUAUUUUUCUUUAGACUCUGCACGAAAAUGGACUAGCCCAGUAAUGACCACAUCCAAGAAAACUUCGAUGCGAAACUCAGUCCGAGGACACGCUUAAUGCAAUAGAAUGUUGCAACCAAUUUCAAGACGCAAAGAAAUUCAGAGGUCGACUGAUUUUGGGGAGACAACAAGACGGUCAGAAAUGGGCCUAAUGCAUUUCGGUUAGCGCAACAAAUCAUUACCUGGGCCAGGCCCAUCCUGCUAGUACUAUGUUGAAGGUACAAACUAUUCCAUUUCCGUGUCUAAAAAAACUAUUCCAUUUUGUACAGAGUUCCAUGUUUCCAAAUAAAAAUAAAUGACACUGCAGUACUCUACUGAAGGGGUACCCUAUGCUAUGACAUCAUGUAAUAUUUAUCCUGUUGUCGAUCCUGGCGGUACAAAAGUCAUGCAUGAUUCACUCAGAGUUCUAGCGCACCCGCAAGUUCCACCCUAAAAUUGAAAAACUGCAUAGCACCUGAAAAUGAUUUCUUUGGUGGUGAUGAGCAUGCAAGUGCUUGAGUUCGUGUCUUUUUGGAUAGGGCUUGGUCCACGACAUAACACAUGUUAUGUUGUAUUUUUUUGGAUCAAACUUAAUCGACGUGGUAGUUUUUGGAUGAACUAUAUGCAUGUUUUAAUUUGAAUUAUUUGAUUGGAUGAACUAUAUGUAUGUUUAUGGUUGUUUUGUUGUGUACGUUGAAUUUAAAUCAUGCAAAUGAUUGAUGAAAUACCAUGCAAUUGUUUGAAAUGAAUGUUAAAAAAGGUGGAAGAAUAAGUCAAAAAGAUUUUAGGGAGUUAAAUAUAGGGUUUGGUUAGGUUUGGCACAACUUAACUCCUUAAAUAUGAAUGAGUUAAGUUUAGAAAGGCAUAUAAGGAGAUACUCCCUACGUUAAUUUUUAUAAGGUGUAUUUGUUUUUUUAAUAAAAUUCCACAAUGUAAGGUGCAUUUCUUCUAAUUCAUCAGAAAUUCCGUUUUCAGCCCUCUAGAAAAAAGGAUAGUAUCUCUCCCCUGAUUGCAUGUAUCUCUCCUUGUAAAAAAGAAAAGUAUCUCUCUCCCGAUUGCAUGUAUCUCUUAUUUUUCUAGCCUAAAUGAUUUACUUACCACUAAUCAAUGAUUUAGCCAAGGUUAUUUUUUUCUAACUUGUGUAUAAUUAUGUGCCUUGGCCACCGUGCCAAAAAUUAUACACCUUACAUAAAUGAUUGAAGGGAGUAAAUUAUAAGUGGUUGACUAGAGAUGCUCUUGGUGUUUGUUAAUAAGAUGGCAUAUUGGGUAGUUUCAAAGGAACUCCGAGGGCAGAGGGGUAUGGUGGGUGAAGUGGAGCAGGUGAAGCAACCAUUUCUCUGCUCCAGUAAAAUGAAAUAGAUGCUACUCCAGCUCUAAUCCACUAAGAAAUUGAAGUUGAGAUUUUGAAACAACUCUACUGAAAUCAUGGAGUGGAGCUGUCCAAAACCUACACUCAAUCCAACAAGAACCAACUAGGAGCAUAUCCUAUAUGAAGAUCGCCCGUGUUACUGGAUUGGUUGAUCUAGUUUGUUAAAUUGACUCGACGACUAGGGCUUUGGGGCACUAGUCCUUAAGGGUGCGUGCACGAAGACUUCUCAGGUGUAAUUGAAAAGGUUAGUCCGGCUCCGACAAGCGGCACGUGAGUGGCUCGUUCUGGCGGUAGUGGUCGUUUGAUGGUCCAAGAACCCCUAUGUAAUGUUUAUUAUGUUUGAAAUGCUUUGUACUUUUGGUGAACUAUUUUUAAAGAAGACUCCGAAUUCAAUUGACUGUGAUAGACCUUCAUAAUCGUUCACCCUUAAUGUUCAAAGUAUGGUUGGUAGCAUGGUAGAAACUUAUGUCUACUCGUAUAUUUCUAGUAGCUAGUCCAAAUAGAUGUUGGUUUAUCAAGGUUCCAUGAAAACAUGAUGCAAACACUGCACUAGGAUCAAUUUAUUUCUUCCAUCAACAAUUAAUCAUUGGCUAGCACACCAUAAAGACUUGGUAAAAAAGUACAAAUACAGAGACACGCAUAUGCGUGAGAUCUAUUAAGCAGUGACAGCUAUCUUCAUGCCUUGCUGGCAGUGACCCGGAAGGCUGCAGAUGAAGAACGCUUUGCCUCUGCGGGCGAGCUGGAUGUGGUCAUUGCCGGAGGUGUAGGUCCUCGACGGGCCCGAGACCCUGCAUGAGUUGUAGUCGCUUUCUCCCACCUGCACCACGUUGUGCAUAGGGUUGUACUUGAACACUGCGUGCAUUAGUUAACACAAGAAUACAUAUCAGAACAUAAUAUAUACAUUAAGAACAACCAAUCACCUGAUCUUUAGAGUUCUCACCAAGCACGUCCCCGGACUGGAUGUGCUUGCCACCCUCCCAUCCGGAGACACCGAAGCUCCAUCCCUUGUUGUCACCAACGGUCCACUCCUUGCCAUGGACGACGGUGGUUGCGCAGCAAACGACCAGAAGCGGCACCAAAAGGGUGGGUAUGAUGGUUCCCCGUGCCAUCGUUGGUGCUGCUCUUGACUUCUUGUCGCUACCGAAGAUUACAAGAACAACAAAAUGAAACAAUGGUCGGUUCUUCAAGUGAUUGCUUGCGUUUGGUCUCCUUCUCGUAUCAUAUAUAUAGCCAGUCAGCUAAAAUCGUUGUUUUAAUGUGCUCAAAUAAUGAGAAUCUUGCUUUAAAUGAGACAAAUAAAUAAUCGUGAUAUGCAAUGUUACUUAGUAUAUGCUACCAAAUCCUCCAACUUAUAUAAUCCGAUCUAGUAUUAAUGGAAAUUAACGAGAUGUAUUUAUUUUCCUGCUCUUAAGAUUUAGAAAAUAUUUCUUUUUCGUGGAUUCAUUAGUGGUAUAUCAGAUAUUUAUAUAUACUAGUAUUAGAUGAUAUAUUUGUAAUAGGAAAAUUCUAAAAUAAAAAAUAUUUUAAAUAAGGAGAAGUCCCUAAUCUAGAGUUUUCGACCAUAGCUGCUAAAGCUGUUGGGGAACCUUGCAUGGAAAACAAAAAAAAUUUACGCAUACGCAAGAUCUAUCCAUGGAGAUGCGUAGCUACGAGAGGGGGAGAGUAUCUUCAUACCCAUGAAGAUCGCUAAGAGAAAGCGUUUUUCAACGCGGUUGAUGUAGUCGUACACAUUCACGACCCAUCCCGAUCUGGUACCGAACGUAUGACACCUCCGCAUUCAGCACAUGUUUAGCUCGAUGACGUCCUUGCCUUCUCGAUCUAGGGCGUGGUGACGGUUGGUGAUGAAGAACAAUCUCCGUAGGGCUUUGCCAAGCACUACAGAAACUAGAUGGAGGAUAAACUAGAGGGGACAGGGUUGCCGACACACGGCUUGGUGAAAUGACUGAUGAAAUACCAUGCAAUUGUUUGAAAUGAAUGUUAAAAAGGAUAGAAGAAUUUGUCAAAAAAAUUUAGGGAGUUAAAUAUAGGGUUUGGUUAGGUUUGGCCACAAUUGAACUCCUUAAAUAUGAAGGAGUUAAGUUUAGAAAGGCAUAUAAGGAGAUACUCCCUAUGUUACUUUUUAUAAGGUGUGUUUGUUUUUUGAUAAAAUUCCACAAUGUAAGAUGCAUUUCUUCUAAUUCAUCCGAAAUUCCGUCUUCAACCCUCUAGAAAAAGGAUAGUAUCUUUCCCCUGAUUGCAUGUGUCUCUCCAUGUAAAAAAGGAAAGUAUCUCUCUCUCGAUUGCUUGUAUCUCUUAUUUUUCUAGCCUAAAUGAUUUACUUACCACUAAUCAAUGAUUUAGCCAAGGUUAAUUUUUUUCUAACUUGUGUAUAAUUAUGUGCCUUGGUCACCGUGCCUAAAAUUAUACACCUUACAUAGAGGAAUGAAGGGAGUAAUUAUAAAUGGUUGACUAGAGAUGCUCUUGGUGUUUGUUAAUAAGAUGGCAUAUUGGGUAGUUUCAAAGGAACUCUGAGGGCAGGGGGUAUGGUUCGUGAAGUGGAGCAGGUGAAGGAACCAUUUCUCUGCUCCAGUAAAAUAAAAUAGAUGCUACUCCAGCUCCAAUCCACUAAGAAAUCAAUGUUGAGCUGUUUGAAACAACUCUACUGAAAUCAUGGAGUGGAGCUGUCCAAAACCUACCCUAAAUCCGACAAGAACCAACUAGAAGCAUAUCCUAUAUGUGAAGGUCGCCCGUGUUACUGGAUUGGUGGAUCUAGUUUGUUAAAUUGACUCAACGACUAGGGCUCCGUGGCACUAGUCCUUAAGGGUGCGUGCACGAAGACUUCUCGGUUGUACUCGAAAAGGUUAGGCCAGUCCGACAAGCGGCAGGUGAGCGGCAUGUUCUGGCGGUAGUGACCGUUUGAUGGUCCAAGAACCUCUAUGUGAUGUUUAUUAUGUUUGAGAUGCUUUGAAAUUUUGGUGAACUAUUUUAAAAAAAGACUCCGAAUUCAAUUGACUGUGAUAGACCUUCAUAAUCUAUUGCCCUUAAUGUUCAAAGUAUGGUUGGUAGAAUGGUAGAAACUUAUGUCUACUCGUAUAUUUCUAGUAGCUAGUCCAAAUAGAUGUUGAUUUAUCAAGGUUCCACGAAAACAUGAUGCAAACACUGCACUAGGAUCAAUUUAUUUCUUCUAUGAUCAAUUCAUCAUGGGCUAGCACACCAUAAAGACUUGGUAAAAAACUACAAAUACAGAGACACACAUAUGCGCGAGAUCUAUUAAGCAGCGACAGCGAUCUUCAUGCCUUGCUGGCAGUGACCCGGAAGGCUGCAGAUGAAGAACGCUUUGCCUCCGUGGGCGAGCUGGAUGUGGUCAUUGCCGGAGGUGUAGGUCCUCGACGGGCCCGAGACCCUGCAUGAGUUGUAGUCGCCUUCUCCCACCUGCACCACGUUGUGCAUACUAGGGUUGUACUUGAACACUGCAUGCAUUAGUUAACACAAGAAUACAUAUCAGAACAUAGUAUAUGCAUCAAGAACGACCAAUCACUUGAUCUUUAGAGUUUUCGCCAAGCACGUCGCCGGACUGGAUGUGCUUGCCACUCUCCCUUCCGGAGACGCCGAAGCUCCAUCCCUUGUUGUCACCAACGGUCCACUCCUUGCCAUGGACGACGGUGGUUGCGCAACAAACGGCCAGAAGCAACACCAAAAGGGUGGGUACGAUGGUUCCCCGUGCCAUCGUUAGUGUUGCUCUUGGCUUCUUGUCGCUACCGAAGAUCACAAGAACAACAAAAUGAAACAAUGGUCGGUUACUCAAGUGAUUGCUUGCAUUCGGUCUCCUCGUAUCACAUAUAUAGCCGGUCAGCAAAAAUCAUUGUUUUAAUGUGCUGAAAUAAUGAGAAUCUUGCUUUAAAUGAGACAAAUCAACAAUUGUGAUAUGCAACGUUACUUACUAUAUGCUACCAAAUCCUCCAACUUAUAUAAUCCGAUCUAGUAUUAAUGGAAAUUAACAAGCAUGCAUUAAUUUUCCUACUCUGAAGAUUUAGAAAAUAUUUCUUUUUCAUGGAUGCAUUAGUUGUAUAUCAUGUAUUUACAUAUACUAGUAUUAGAUGAUAUAUUUGUAAGAGGAAAAUUCUGAAAUAAAAACUUUUUUAAUUAGGACAAUUCCCUAAUCUUGACUUUUCGACCAUAGCUGCUAAAGCAUGAUCAGAGACCUUGAUUUGGGAUUGUCUAGUCACAAAUCAUCUGAAAUUGAUAGGAAUAUUUUCAAUAAUUGUAGUUCAAAUGAAUUUCACAAGUCAGAAAAUUUAAUGCAUUGGGUCAAUAUAAGAAUUUUAGACUAGGUUAAUUUGGAAUUAUUCAAAAAGAAAAGUGGCCAUGAUUGGUCAACGAUGUAGUAAACUCGACGAGAUUCGGAAGGAACUAAUUGAGAGGAACAUUUGUGAGACUUACCAAGGACUUGUCGCCACUUGAGUCGACGAAGAUUAUGACCUCAAGGACGCCCCCCCGGAAAACUCCGCGACAACUCCAGACCAACAAAAUUUGCUCUAAACUAGCCAUCCUGGCACAAACAGGAAUGACAUGCACGAGAGGGGGUGGAGUUGUGCCCUGUGUACUUCGCUCACUAGACGAUCUAGUGGAGAAUAAGAGGAGGGCAUAACGGGGAGGCGAAGAGGGGAGGCAGGAGAGACAGAAGAUAGUCGAAGAAUGAGAGGAUUGUGAAUUUUCUUUUUCCUAUUUAGAAAGUAGCACUAGUCGUUAUGGUGUGUCACAUGGCCAUGUAUGUGCUUUUUGCAGUUCACCUUACUAUUACCAUUUUUUAUAAAACAUAAUGUACACAAUUCCGUAAAAAUGUUUGUAUUUGGAUACUUUUUCUAUAUAAAAACCAUUGAUGGUGUCGUAUAAGCUAAUUUUCAUUUUUGAAAUGUAUGUGUGUGCACACACGUUUGUUCUGGUAAAAUUUACAAGUCUGAUAUACAAAUGUAGUAAGCAAAUAAAAAAAAGAAUUGUUUGUACACACACAAGGUCCUUGUUGUGGAGAUUGCUUUGGAGACCUCUUGAACAUCACUAGUGUCCCGUUGAGAUGAAUAGUAGAGUUCAACAUAAAAGGAAACAAUUGUGUUUAAGGGAUCAUUGGCCAUUGCAUGUUAUUACAUUUUAAAAUCAUGGUCACAUGUAAUUAGCUUAAACUGAAAUAGUGGCAACAAAGCACUAAACCAAAGUUUAAUGAAUGAAUAUCCAAGUGUGUAUCGUCUGUCCUUUGCUUUUGACGCUUUGUUUUGCCUCAAAGUGUAUUUGAAUUAGCAUGGGCAUUUUAUAAUAUAUACUGUCAGUAGAGUGCCUCUGCUGAAGAACUGAACUUAACAAUCGAGACUAUAUAGAAGAUAGAAUAUCUCCCGUCGGGCGCGCCUAUAUCUCGCCUUCAGUGAGUCUCGCUGCGGACUCGCUGAAGGGCGAGCGAGCUGGGCCGGCCCACAAGCACCGGAGGCCAUUCUUUUUUUCCUUUUUUACAUUUUCUGUUUUCUUUUUUUUCUUUUGUACUUCUGUUUAUACUGUACAAUAUUAUAAAAAAUAUAUUACGAAAAACAAUCUUCAUUUUUUUUUGAAUAUAUUUAACAACUAUUUAAAAAUGUUGAACAAGUAUUAAAAACAUGUUGAAUAAGUAUUUGAAAAAAAUGUUGAUCAAGUAUUUGAAAACUGUUGAACAAGUAUUUGAAAAAUGUUGAGCAUGAAUGGAAAACAAGUUGAACAAACAUUUGAAAUAUAUAGAAUAAGUAUUUAAAAAAUGUUGAUCAAGUAUUUGAAAACAUAUUAAACAAAUAUUUGAAAAAAUGUUGAUAAUGUAUAUAAAAAAUGUUGAACAGCAAUUUGAGAAAAUGUUGAUCAUGUAUAUAAAAAUGUAGAAUGAAAAACACAAAGAAACAAAAGGAAAUCCGAAAAAAUGAAAACAGAAAAAUAAACAAAAUAAACCAAAGAAAAAGGAAAAUGAAAAGAAAACUAAAGAAACAAAUGAAAAAACCGGAGAAAAAAAUAGUUUUAUGUAAAAUAAUGAAGAAACAAAAGCAAAAUAAUGAAAAAAAUGGAGAAGAGAAAAGAAAAGAAAAGAAAAGAAAAGAAAGAAAACAAAAUGAAAAAAAGGAGAAAAUCGGCACGACUUGCUUCAUGUAGGCCAUGUCCUUUAUGUUAUUCCGAACUAUUGGGCAGGCACAUUGGAUAGUCGCGCUUCAUAUGUUCGCGGCGAUCCCUGGUGCUCCCCUUUUCCCUUCUAUUUUUCUUUAGACUCUGCGCGAAAAUGGACUACCCCAGUAAUGACCACAUCCAAGAAAACUUCGAUGCAAAACUUAGUCCGAGGACACGCUUAAUGCAAUAGAAUGUUGCAACCAAUUUCAAGAUGCAAAGAAAUUCAGAGGUCGACUGAUUUUGGGGAGACAACAAGACGGUCAGAAAUGGGCCUAAUGCAUUUCGGUUAGCGCAACAAAUCAUUACCUGGGCCAGGCCCAUCCUGCUAGUACUCUGUUGAAGGUACAAACUAUUCCAUUUCUGUGUCUAGAAAAACUAUUCCAUUUUCUACAGAGUUCCAUGUUUCCAAAUAAAAAUAAAUGACACUACAGUACUCUACUAAAGGGGUACCCUAUGCUAUGGCAUCAUGUAAUAUUUAUCCUGUUGUCGAUCCUGGCGGUACAGAAGUCAUGCAUGAUUCACUCAGAGUUCUAGCGCACCCGCAAGUUCCACCCGAAAAUUGAAAAACUACAUAGCACCCAAAAAUGAUUUCUUUGGUGGUGAUGAGCAUGCAAGUGCUUGAGUUCGUGUUUUUCUGGAUAGGGCUUGGUCCACGACAUAACGCAUGUUAUGUUGUAUUUUUUUGGAUCAAACUUAAUCGAUGUGGUAGUUUCUGGAUGAACUAUAUGCAUGUUUUAAUUUGAAUUAUUUGAUUGGAUGAACUAUAUGUAUGUUUAUGGUUGUUUUGUUGUGUACGUUGAAUUUAAAUCAUGCAAAUGAUUGAUGAAAUAUCAUGCAAUUGUUUGAAAUGAAUGUUAAAAAAGGUGGAAUAGUAAGUCAAAAAGAUUUUAGGGAGUUAAAUAUAGGGUUUGGUUGCACAACUUAACUCCUUAAAUAUGAAGGAGUUAAGUUUAGAAAGGCAUAUAUGGAGAUACUCCCUACGUUUAAUUUUUAUAAGGUGUAUUUGUUUUUUUAUAAAAUUCCACAAUGUAAGGUGCAUUUCUUUUAAUUCAUCAGAAAUUCUGUCUUCAGCCCUCUAGAAAAAAGGAUAGUAUCUCUCCCCUGAUUGCAUGUAUCUCUCUUUGUAAAAAAAGGAAAGUAUCUCUCUCCCGAUUGCGUGUAUCUCUUAUUUUUGUAGCCUAAAUGAUUUACUUACCACUAAUCAAUGAUUUAGCCAAGGUUAUUUUUUUCUAACUUGUGUAUAAUUAUGUGCCUUGGUCACCGUGCCAAAAAUUAUACACCUUACGUAAAUGAUUGAAGGGAGUAAAUUAUAAGUGGUUGACUAGAGAUGCUCUUGGUGUUUGUUAAUAAUAUGGCAUAUUGGGUAGUUUCAAAGGAACUCCGAGGGUAGAGGGGUAUGGUGGAUGAAGUGGAGCAGGUGAAGCAACCAUUUCUCUGCUCCAGUAAAAUGAAAUAGAUGCUACUCCAGCUCUAAUCCACUAAGAAAAUGAAGUUGAGCUGUUUGAAACAACUCUACUGAAAUCAUGGAGUGGAGUUGUCCAAAACCUACACUCAAUCCGACAAGAACCAACUAGGAGCAUAUCCUAUAUGAAGAUCGCCCGUGUUACUAGAUUGGUGGAUCUAGUUUGUUAAAUUGACUCGACGACUAGGGCUUCGGGGCACUAGUCCUUAAGGGUGCGUGCAUGAAGACUUCUCGGGUGUAAUUGAAAAGGUUUGUCCGGCUCCGACAAGUGGCGCGUGAGCGGCUCAUUCUGGCGGUAGUGGUCGUUUCAUGGUCCAAGAACCCCUAUGUAAUGUUUAUUAUGUUUGAAAUGCUUUGUACUUUUGGUGAACUAUUUUUAAAGAAGACUCCGAAUUCAAUUGACUGUGAUAGACCUUCAUAAUCAUUCGCCCUUAAUGUUCAAAGUAUGGUUGGUAGAAUGGUAGAAACUUAUGUCUACUCGUAUAUUUAUAGUAGCUAGUCCAAAUAGAUGUUGGUUUAUCAAGGUUCCAUGAAAACAUGAUGCAAAUACUGCACUAGGAUCAAUUUAUUUCUUCCAUCAGCAAUUCAUCAUUGGCUAGCACACCAUAAAGACUUGGUAAAAAGUACAAAUACAGAGACAUGCAUAUGCGCGAGAUCUAUUAAGCAGUGACAACUAUCUUCAUGCCUUGCUGGCAGUGACCCGGAAGGCUGCAGAUGAAGAACGCUUUGCCUCCGUGGGCGAGCUGGAUGUGGUCAUUGCCGGAGGUGUAGGUCCUCGACGGGCCCGAGACCCUGCAUGAGUUGUAGUCGCCUUCUCCCACCUGCACCACGUUGUGCAUACUAGGGUUGUACUUGAACACUGCGUGCAUUAGUUAACACAAGAAUACAGAUCAGAACACAGUAUAUACAUUAAGAACAACCAAUCAC
rnacentral:lncRNA from 1 species